rnacentral:lncRNA from 1 species
AAAUGCGAUAGAAUCUAAUCGGUUUCAACAAUCUCAAGAACAUCUAUUCAUGGUUGUGUUGUUUGAAAUCUGUAUGUAUCAGUUUUCUUUCUAGAUCUCAGAUUGCUCGCAAGGAUGUCAAGUUUUGAUGAUGCUUGCCUGUUUUCCUGUGUUUACAGAAGGCUCAUAUCCACUCAAUAUGAUAUUAUCUAUUGGGCACUCUGCCUAUGUCCUGGGAGAUUAGACCAACUUCGAAAUUGAACCUUCAUUUGGAGUAGAGGCAACCGAGCUUUGUCCAGAUGUCAACUACACUACUGUGGAUGAGUACCUCAACCAGUUCAUAUAAACCUUCUGAGAUGAGCAGCAGGAUCCUAACCAAAAAUUGGGUGGUUUCCAUCCCUGAUUCUAUGGUAUAAAGAUAGCGGCUUUCCAUGCUUUUGCCAGUUCAAUGAAGUUUGUUAGAUGAUGUUAUUUAUACUAUACUAGCAAAGAUCAAGUUGCCUUUCUUGUCAAGAAGCCAAGCUCUGGCAUUGGUUUAUGCUAGUUUUUCACACUAAUAUUGGUAUUCACUAAUUUUUUUUUUUUCAUUUCACACCUCCAUCAUCAGUUGAGAUACCCUCUUGUAUGGUACUAACUUUGAUUUUCCUUAUGCUUCACUUGCUGUCUCUGCAGAUUCGUAAAAGAUCAUUCAUGGAUAAGAUCAGAACAUCAAUGUAAUACAGUAUGCAUUGAGAACUCCCACAUGAGUCUUGUUCUAGUUCUCGUUAGACAUGAAACAUGUUACAGUUCCAUAACUUGAGACAUUGUCAUUCAACAAUUAUCAUCGCAUUAAAACAGUGGCCAAUCCCUAACAGCUACCUUUUGACUCUUCACAUUUUUUUUCUGCAUUUUAUGCGCAUUAAUUAUCCAGACCUAGACUUACUCUUCUCAGCUUGGCCCGUUGGACAGUGAGUGAUGAAACAGAAAAUUUUUCAUGUUUAUGAAUGUAUGAAGUAUCUCUUCUGCACUGCACCGGCAUCCUCCUUAACUGUCAGUAGGAUCACAAUAAGUCGACCAACCAUCUACCGUAUGGAUUAUCUAUAAAUUGAAAUUGGUGUGUAUUAUGGAUCUGUCACUCUGCUGCUUCUGUUUUCUUUUCUAUUUUUACCAAGAAAGAAACAUUGUUAAAACUGAAUGGUUGUUAUCUCGUCUUGUUGUAAUGUUGUGUAUGCUUUCUAGAAAAUAAUGAAGUGCCAAAUAUGAAAAUACUAGUGGCUACCUUACCAUCCUUAAUAAGUUGUCUGAUUGUCACCGUCAACAAUCACUCUCAGAAACUCAUAAUCCAUUUAAGCAUAUUAUAAAAUAAUCAAUUUUGUAUUUGCACCAACUUUUAGUUUUAAAUGACAAUUUCGUUGAUCCCCUCACACUUCUGUACUAAUCAAAUCCACUGAAACUGGACUUUUUUUUUUUUUUUUUUAUAAUUACAUCGAUUGCAAUGGCUAUUGCAGGGAAAAGACAGCCUCUACAGGGAACUAAACUUUCAGAAUUGAUCUUAUGAGGGUUUGAAUAUGCUCUCGUACUAGGUCAAUGGCCUAUUGGUUCGAGACCAUUCACAAAGAAAGAAAUGAGUUUUGCUUGUAUAAAUGAAAGAAAUCCAAAUGAUAACUAAUGUAUAGUGGUACAUGAGAAAAAUAAUUUCAGCCCCUGUGUAAAGUCAAAAAGAGAAAAUAUUAAAAGAAAGGAUAAUGUCAUUGAGUUCGGUGAAGUGAAAGAAAAUAAAAAACAUGGGAUUUAGUCAAACUUAGUGUCCCAAUCAGCAGAAAAAGGUUUUAGAAACUCACCUCAAGUUAAGCCAACUAUUAGGAGCUUUAUUUAAUCAUGGCUUUCUAAUGUAUAGUACUCCAAUACUAAACGAGGGCUACCUCUACGCUUGCAAAUGUAAAUGAAAUUGAGUUCGUGACGCACAAUGAAGUGAGCAAAAUGAGUUGAGAUCUGAGAAUAUAUUAAAGAAAAUAUGAAUCAAUGAAUUUUGGUUAAAAAAAACAAAUGCUGGUUCUUCAAGACCUGCGUGUAUUGUGUAAGUUUUGUUAGGAGAAGGAAAGCAUUUUGGUCUAAAACGCACUAAAUCGGAUUCAUUUGCUUGAUAUCUAAUAAGGGUGAAUUAACCACUCGCCCACAGCAAUUCAAGUACCCAAAAAAGUUUUGUGGGGGCUAAAUUUCUUCUUUAAUUAUAACAAAUAAUUGAGCGGAGGAUAAAAAUUUAGGCCAUGUAUAACAAUAACUAAUAUAAACUAGUCCUAAUAAUAGUAUAAUUGUAAAUAUCAGUUGUAGUCUCAUACAAUAUAAGUUUAUAGAUUAUAAUAUCGGCAUAAAAAGAAAAAUGAUAUCUGACGGUCAAUCAAUAAAAGGACAAAAACUUGGAGUAACAUACCACAAAGUCAAUGUAGCUGGACAGUGAAUAUAAUAUGUAAACAAAUUUAAAUGGGAUAAUACCAUACGGUACAUACAUAACAUUUUAAAACUGAAUUAAAAAAAUAAAAUUAAAACUGAAUUGGAAUUCGUAUGUGUAUCCAGCUACCUUGCCACAGUUGUAAGGUACCCUAACUUUGCAACAAUUUCAUCCUUCGUGCAUUCGGUCACAAAGUCCAAAUUAGGCACGUUUAAGAAUCGAACUGAAAAACUAAAAAAAAGAAUCCGGCGAUAUUUGCGAACCGGAAACGAGCCAGCGUUAUGCUUAUGUCAUUUCAGAGAUAUCAACAGUCGUGCUUUCAGUCCUUAAACCUCAAGGGCAUUUUCGUCCUUUCACUCAAGCGUGAAACUGCAUGUAAGAACUGCUUCGCUUACACGCUCCAUGCACAUUUAAAGGCACCACUGUCGGAUAAAAAAUAUCCAUCCAUUUGAUCAUUUCAAAACAAAACGAAAAAAAAAAUCUCAGUAAUUGAACUGAACGAGUCUCAGAAAUGGCAUCGAAAAGUAAGAUUCUAUUCAUCGGCGGGACAGGGUAUAUCGGUAAAUCCACUGUCGAAGCGAGCGUAAAAGCCGGCCACCCGACGUUCGUGCUCGUGAGAGAAUCCACAAUCUCUGGUCCUUCCAAAUCUCAACUCCUCGAUCACUUCAAAAACCUCGGCGUCAAUCUCGUCAUAGUGCGUUUUCAUUUUUCUCUUUUCUUAAUUUUUUAUUCCGAUCAUUUUUACACGUCGAAGUGUAGCAUCUACUACUUAAUAUACAUAAUGAUAUUAUUAUUUUUUAAUUUUUUUGGGUUGCUGUUAUUAUUAUGCAGGGAGAUGUGUUGAAUCACGAGAGUUUGGUGAAGGCGAUUAAACAAGUGGACGUGGUGAUAUCAACGGUCGGUCACACUUUAUUAGCUGAUCAGGUCAAGAUUAUUGCUGCCAUUAAAGAAGCCGGUAACGUUAAGGUAUAACAUAAUUAAUGUAAAUGUCUUAGAUUCCGAUCAGGAUUGUGCACUCGCGAACACGUGGUGAUUUAUUCUUGGUGUGGAGCUCGCUGUAGAGUAGAGCUCCCAGUUCAGCUAAUAAACACCCCGUCACAUGCGCAAUUGCGCCUCAAAAUAAUUUAAUUGAUUAAUUAAGGAUAAAUACCAAUGGCAUGAAAGCAAUUAAAAUUAGUUGAUGUUUAUAAAUUAUUUAUUACUCAGAGAUUCUUACCAUCGGAAUUUGGAAAUGAUGUUGAUCGAGUUGAAGGCGCCGUAGAGCCAACAAAAUCGACGUAUGACGUAAAGGCGAAAAUCCGCCGAGCCGUUGAGGCAGAAGGCAUUCCGUACACUUACGUAGAAUCUUAUUGUUUUGAUGGCUAUUUCCUCCCCAAUUUGUUGCAGCCUGAGGCCACUGCCCCCCUAGGGAUAAGGUUGUCAUCUUAGGCGAUGGAAAUCCAAAAGGUAAUAUAAUUUAAUUAAGCUCUGUUUGUUUGGUAUGUAUUUCGGUGUUAAUGUUAUUGUCUGUUGUACAAUGGAUGGUCUUGCUUGGUACUGUUGUUGGAGAGCUGCAGUGUUUUGAUAAACACCUCUAUCCUUAGCUUUCAAGUUAAGUUGAUUUUAUACAACACUUGUUUAAUUCAAAACUUGUAAUAUUCUUACUACUUUGAUAAAAAAUAUUACGAUUAAAGCAUUAAUGGCACCAUAAUACGAAAUGAACCUUAAGUGGUCAUUAUAGAUUUUAAGAUAGAGUUUUAAGUGAUUACCAGAUACUUUAGCUGCUGAACCGCCACAUCAUGGUUGCCACACAACAAUUUCAAACAGAGCCUAAAUAACUUCAUUGCAAAACAGUUAAAUGAAUCUAACUUAGUUUCGUCGUUUGAUUUUCAGCUGUUUUUAACAAGGAAGAUGAUAUUGGAACCUACACUAUCAAAGCGGUUGAUGAUCCGAGAACCUUGAACAAAAACUUUUACAUUCAGCCUCCCGGUAAUAUUUACUCAUUCAAUGAUCUUGUGUCUCUGUGGGAGAGAAAGAUUGGUAAAACCCUCGAAAAGGAGUAUGUUUCAGAGGAGCAGCUCCUAAAGAAUAUUCAAGGUUGGUUAAAACUCUCUUUUUUUAAAUGUAUUAAAGAGAGCCGUAUAUUCUCUGCCGUAAAUGUUAUUGAUCCUGUCUUCUCCAAAAUGUUGCAGAAGCUGCACCUCCACACAAUGUGAUAUUAUCAAUUUAUCACUCUGCUUUCGUGAAGGGAGUUCAAACCAACUUCAAGAUUGAACCAUCUUUUGGAGUUGAAGCCUCGCAGCUUUAUCCUGAUGUCAAGUACACUACAGUUGAUGAGUACCUCAAUCAGUUUGUGUAACCCUUCUCUGUUUCCAGCUGCAGCUUGCAGGAUCUUGGACUGUUGGUAAAUAAAUAAUUGGCUUGUUGCCAUCUUUGGUUUUAUAUGUAAAAAUUAUGGUUGUUGGCCUUACUUUCUUCUGGUUGUCCAUGGAAUUUGUUAGACCAUAUUUUGUUUGCUAUGUCAGUGAUCAAAUGAAGUAGGCCAUGUACUUGAUUUGAGAGUAGUAGUUAUAAAGCCAUCAUGAUCAGGUGGGUGCGUGGGUUGGGCUUCUAUUAGGGUGCGUGUGUUGGGCUUCAGGGGCUUGUGAUAUGGGUUCGACAGCCCCUAACGGGCAGUCAUUAUAAAAAUAAUUAUAGAGUUACAAAUCUAUGUAAAAAGCAAAAAUUAAAAGUAAUUUAUCAAUAAAAAUAAUUAAAAUUAAUAAAAAGUAGGUAUGAUAUUUCAGAAAUCAAAUUAAAGAUAGCAUUCUAAAGAGUCGGAUAAUCCUCCAACUAAACUAAAGAUCUAGUACAUUUGAGAGCAAAUUUAAUUAAAGAAAAGGAUAAGGAAAAACAAUAGAAUAAUAAUAUUAAAAAUUGCAAAUCUUGGUCUUUUUUUUUUACGAUGAUGUUGAAUUCUUAUAAAUUUAAUCUUAUCUAUAGAAUUAUUUAGUUACUGUAUGUCAAAAUUUCCUAUAAAGAUGAAGAAAAAUUAUAUUAGGAGAAGAUCCAAAUCCGUUUAACUGAUGCAUCAUCGACAACAUGAGUACAACAUUUUUGAAUAAACAAAAGAAACUCGUUUUAUGUGCGAACCAGUUCCAAAAUAAAGAGCAGACUAUUGGAAGGAGACAAAUACUACAAGAAGAACAAAACAUUCUACAGUUCCUACAUGAGCCCGCAACAAUUCAUUAUUAACUCGACAUUCAUUACACUUUUUCUUUAAUUUGACAAAGAAACCAAAAAUAAGAUAAAAUUGACUAAGAAAUAAAAAAAUGACCGAAAUCUUUUUGAAGUUUUGCCAGUUCAGCCAUGCACGCUUAUCUUUAUUCACUUGUUUCCUUUCUUUCCUUUCUUUGCUGAAGCCUUCACAGAUCCUUUACCUUUCUGAGCCUUGCCAAUUUUCCCCUUCUUCAAACCACCUGGCCUUGCUGGAUCCACGUGUCCUUGCAUCCUUUUUCAUUCGUGGAUCAACAAGAAUCUUCCCCUUUCCAGCUCUCUCUUGAACUCCUUUCUUUGGGACCAGUAUUCUUUUGUCGGCCUUUUGGGUAUAGUUGUCUUGUAUAAUUGUUCAAUUUGAUUCCUCUUCGAACGAUCAGAGAUGUCCGCUUAGUCUGAUAUGACAUUUGCCUUCUUGCGAACCUUCUCAAGAUUUCGCAUGGCAACCCGUAUCUUUCGAGCUUUGGUCUUAGCCACCUUCUUGGCAGUAUGGGUGGGCGAUUCGGUUUUGGGAUAAACUUUUGGUUUCGUAUCGGUUUAGAUUAAAAAAUAAUAUAAAAAAAUAUUUAGAUUUUAAGAGAAAAAAUCCGAACCGAGACUCACCUAUCGAUUUCGGCUCGGUUUCAGUUCAGUUUUGAUUCUCCUAAUAGUUUUAUUUUGCCUUAUUGACUUCCGGUCAAUGACACUUUUGAAAAAUUUACCAAAAAAAAAAAAAAUGGCCAUAACAAAAUUUCUAUAUGCAAAUAUUUCCUAAACAUUAGGCUAUACUAAAUUUUUUUAAAAGGUAGGGACCCAAACGAUAUUAUCCCUCUACUUCAUCUUCAACCUUCGUCAUUAGGGAUGGCAAAAUCCGAGUUCGGGUCCGGGUUUAGCCAUUUGGGAUCCGGACCCGGAUGAAUAUUUUUUGUACCAGACCCGAAAAUAAACCCGCAUUUUUCCACUUCGAGUCCGGUACGGGUUCAACCCGAAAAAAUUCGGGUUCCCUGACUGCGGGUUUCCAACUCGGAUUAAUGAAUCCAAUUGAAAAAAAAAAACUAAAUUCAACAAAAAAAAUCAAAUAGAAAUACAUAUCCAGGAUUUCAGCAAAUCAAAGAAAAAUUAUUUCAUCUGGAAACUAAUUAACAAAAACAACAAUUUUGUUUGGCUGCCCAGAAUCAGCAACCCAAUGUGGCGGCUCGUUCAAAACAUUAGUGUUUUCAACAGAUUUUGGGGUAGGAAAAGCCAAACCUAUCUAGAACAAUGAAUUUGUAUUUUUGGGGGAGAUGAGGUACCUCACUGGUUUGUUGUGUGCGGUGCAGUGUAUCUUAAAUUUGGGGGAUGUGAGAAGGGGAGAGGGAGUGGUAAUAAUGGUGAAAGGUCAAAACCAAUAGAGAUGUCCUUCAAAAUGAGCUUCACACCUGUAAAACAGUGAAAUAAAGGUUAGAGGUGAAGCUGGGGUAUCCCGGUGUUCACACUCCGACGCUCAAGUUAGCAAACUCAAGCUUUUAUGACAAAGAGAACUGGCUAGCCCUCUGUAAAUUAGGGUUUAAGGUUCAAGGAAACCUAUUUUUUGGAAUGUGAGUGUUAAUGGUGAGUGAGAGACCUCUUGGAGAAUGAAACCUAUGCGCCUUUAUAUAUGGAGUACCUCAGCUGCCACGUGACGUACCCUUUUUGGCUAACGUCAUUUUUCAUUUUUAUGAUUUUUGGGUCGUUAUGUUCAUGUUCGCGGGGUAUCUCAUCUUUUAGAAACGUGGCGCGCGCUGGAGAGUGGUCCAGGGUACCUCUGCAGUAGCUGUCGGGUAGGCGGCUGAGGACCACUGUCCUUGGGACAGUGUCUUUCACUUUUGGUAAAGGUGACAGGCGGUUGUCCUCCCUUUUAACACGACAUUUUUUAUUCCUAAUUAUGACAAAAUCGAAUAAUAUCUUUUAAGAGAUGGAGACGUUUCUCAUGGUGGAUAUUUUCGGAAGAUUCUCUUGCAUCUGAUCAGCCGGGUUCCUCCAGUUACGCAGGGUACCUCAAUUUAUGUGGGGUACCUCUAAUUUUAUGGGGUACCACUAUUUGCGCAGGGUACCUUGAAUCAUGCCAAGUACCUUAGAUUAUGCGGAGUACCUCUAAUUGUGCGGGAUACCUCUAUUGCGCUAGGUACCUUGAAUCAUGCCGGGUACCUCAGAUUGUGCGGGGUAUCUCUAUUUGCGCAGGGUACCUUGAAUCAUGCUGGGCACCUCAGAUUGUGUGGGGUACCUUGAGUCAUGCGAGGUACCUCUAAUCAGGCCAGGUACCCUCUAAUUGUGCUGAGUACCUAUAAUCAUGCAGGGUACCUCUAAUCAAGCCGGGUACCUUUAAUCAUGCGGGGUACCUCUAAUCAGGCCGGGUACCUUAGAUUGUGCGGGGUACCUCUAUUUGCGCAGGGUACCUUGAAUCAUGCAGGGUAUCUCAGAUUGUGCGGGGUACCUCAAAUUGUGUGGGGUACUUCUAAUCGUGCGGGGUACCUCUAAUCAUGUCGGGUACCUCGGAUUGCACUGAAGUUAUUCCAUUCGUUGACACGUGGCGUUAUGCUAUCUUUCUUAUUUUUCCCCCAAACAACAUCCCUCUAGUUUCUUUUGGCAAGAAGUUUUGGAGGCAAAAGAAACUUACAUAAAAAGUAGAAGCGACACGUGGCGAUAUGAUGUUUAGCUCGAUGGGUAACUAAAUAGAGGGCGCCUUUAGGGGUACCCUGAGAACCCAAAAAGGGAAGAUGGGCUCCAUUUCCUCGGAAAUGGCUACCACUUUGGACAUGUUGGAAAGGAUAGAGCUAAUUGAUCAAAAAAAUUUCAUCUAUUUCUAGGGAAGAACACCAAAUACGGGUAGAGGGUAUCGUUAGGGUACCCCACCAUUACCCAUAGUUUGUUUUCUAGUGACUGCCAUGUAUAAAUCGCUCUGGUGAAGGCUUCAAUACAUUCUUUGGGCAUUUAAGAAGCAAUUAUUUGAUUAUCUCGGGAUCCACCUUAUUUAAGGGUAUAUUUCCUUCAUGUACUUUGAAGACAAAAAUAAAAUCACAGGGCUUUCUUCCUUGUAACUUCAGAGGUACCCUCGACAGAAGAAUAUAGUCAACAAUGCUUUUAAGCGUAUCAUGAUCGAGGAAUGGAGUGCUGAUCUGGGGUUGGUGGUGCCAAGAGUGGAGAAGAUGGUAGAUGAACCGGCUAUCUUGAAGGCGAUUAACGAUAGCGGGGCUCUCAACACAUCUUGGUCUGAAGGGGUAAUGCAAAUAAGUUUACGUUGAUUGGAUAUUCAGAAGAAGUAAUACGCCAUUAAAAGCAACAAGUUUUCCAAAAAGCCAACAAAGACAGACACCACCACACCACCCCGCGCUGGAUGAAAAACGAUGAAAGCAUGAUAAGUGACAUCGAGUAAGCCACGUUCUCUCUCUCUCUCUCACUCGCACUCGCACUCGCACUCGCACUCGCACUCGCACACACUGUUACUAAAAUAACCAAAAAUAAGAUUCCCAUCAAAAUAUUUUCAAGUAUCGUUCUUGAAAGUGGCGGCGGCUGAUGAUGAUGAACACAGCCGCGAUUGCGAUUGGCGAAGGCGGCGUUCAGCCCGUAUCACAGCUAGUUAUCGGUCGUGGCAGAAAAGAUAAUGAAACGACGGCUGAUGAUGAUAAUGAUGAUGUUGAACAGCCGCAAAUAUGGGUAAGUGAUGCGACGAUGAUUUGAUGAAGAUGAAGAUGAGCUGAAGAUGGAAUAAGAGUGGAAAUGUUUGUGCGGCUGGGAAAGUGUAAUGAGCUGCUAGGGCACCAUUUGGGUUUUUUUGCUUUCCUAUUUAUAUUAAAAAUAAUUUUUAAAAAUUAAUAUAUAUCCGGGUUCGGGUUUUGGAUGUACGGGUUUACCUAGACCCGGACACAUGCGGAUUCAGCAGCACCGACCACCCACAGACUUGGAUUCGAUUGCAAAGUUGGGACUUAGGAUUUGGGUUUGUGGCUGCUGAAACAGAAAGUGAGAGAGUAGAAAGUAGAGACUAAGAGUGGUGCAAACAUGUGUAAUUUUGUGUGUGUGUCUAUAUAUAUAUAUAUAAUGUGAAAUUACAAAAAUGCCAUUAUAUCAGUUCAAUUCGAAUUUUGUAACUUGUGAUCCAAAAACUGAACCAAACCGAACCAUUUGGUUUGGUUUUUAUAUAUUCAGGUUUUUAAUUUAAAAAAACUAAAUUGAAAUUGAAAGAACUAAACCGAACCGAAUUUUUUUUUUUUUUUUGUUUCGGUUCAAUUAUGCCCAUCCCUACUUAGUAGGCUGGGCAUUAAUUUCUUUGAAUUGUGCUUUCAUUGCAGUAAUCUCCUCCUUGGUAAUAGGUUUAAUUGCUUGUUGAUGCCUCAUUUCCUCUAGUAACAACUAGUCUAACAAGCCAUCAUCGUCAAACAUGUACCUAUUAUAAGCAUCAUCCAGAAUUUGCUCUCUUUGCUUUUUGCUUAGUGUCUUCUUUGCACAAGCUAUUAUCUCAGCUUUUGUAUGAAUAUCUUUAUCUUUUGAUUCACCAGAGGAUGAAUCAUCACCGGAAUAGAGUGGUGAAGGCCCCAUAGAUUAGUGUGAUCAAGUUCUAGUGUAGUUUUGGUUUUGAUUUCAGUAUUAGGAAAAUGAAGCCUAUGAAAUUUACUAAGCUAACAUGCUUCACAAAAGUGCUUUAAUACUUGAAGAGGAUAAAUGAGGAUAAAUAAAUUUAAAUAUACAUUAGAUUUUGAGGGUUGGGAUGUCAAAACUUUUGGUGAAAAAGAGUUAGUACAAGCAUUUUUAUUGAGAUUGAAAAUAUUUCUUAAGAUGAUCAAUACUAGUUACAAAAUUGGAAUGAAAAAAAAAGGCAACAUAGACAAAGGUUUGUUUAUUUGAUUGUAAGAUAGAAAAGACUUGUAUUUAAGUUGUGGAAAGGAUUUGAGCAGCAAUUUAUACAACCUUUUCUCAGCAAAACCUUCCUCUUCAAUGAAUCCUUCACAAAACAAAUAGAUCCAAGAAAUUCGACAAAUAAAUUGUUGUCAAUGGUAAGUUUUGAAAUGCUCAAUAGAUUCUUUGUAAUGGAUGGAACAAACAGUACAUCCUUAAGUAAAAUAUGUCUUAUAUUAUCUUUUUUUAAUUCUUUUUUAAAAAAUAAGUGAAUAAUAGUAUGUCAAUCUCAAAUAUCAAUAUGUACAAUUUUUAUUUGUGUAAGAAUUUGCAUCCAAUAAUCAUCAAUACAUAAUUGUCUUUUAAUUGAAUGGUUCUCACCUCCCUUCCAAACUUUGAAAAGGUAAAAUAAGAUCAAUCAUGUCAGUGGCAAUUAAUAUAAAGAUUACUUUUCUUAUUUGUAGUAACGUCCUCUGAUUAUUUAGCUGAUUUUCAAGCUACACAUUUAUUCCAUUUGAUGUUGAUAUUAGUAAAAUUAAUGUAAUAUUUAAAAAGGAAAAAAAUCCGUCGAGCUAAAAGCCGAGUAUAAAAUUGAACCGGACCCAAACCAGAAACGCACGCCAACAACAUGCUUGCGUUAGUCGGCCCAUGCCCAUAAACCCACCAAGCCCGAUCCAAAUAGAAAAAUGAAUUGGACACCCGAGAUAGCAGAAACAGAUAAGUAACGGUCGUGUUAUCCCCAAUCUCAUAUCUUCAACGGUAUCCAGCCAACAUCUCAAAGUGUUCAAUUUUUUUUUAAGCCAAAAAAAAAUUCAAAAUUUUCAAGCGGAAUCUGGGAAGAUGGCGAUGAAAAGCAAGAUUCUGGUUAUCGGCGGAACCGGAUACAUCGGUAAGUACUUAAGGUGCGUUUGAAAUUGAGGUUGAACAACUAUAACUUUAAAACUACAGCACUAAAAUAUUUGGUAAACACUAACUGUUGUAACUUAAAAGCUAUUUAAUAUAAUUUUUCACUUGUAUAAUAAAAAAUUUAUUAUCUUUAAUAAUUUUGUCAAAAUUAUUAUUUAAAAUAUAUACAGUAAGAGAGAUUGUAACAUUUUCAAUCUUUGGUUUGAUAUUCUGGAAGAAAACGGUUUGCCGUUUACGGAGAAAAUGGCUAACCGUUUAAUUUCAGAGAGCAUGUUUUCUAUUCUAGAGAAAACGACUAACCGUUUGGAGAAAAUGGCUAACCGUUUGGAGAAAACGGCUAACCGUUUUGAGAAAACGGCUAACCGUUUAAUUCCAGAGAGCAUGUUUUCUGUUCUAAAGAAAAUAACUAACCGUUUGGAUAAAACAACCAACCAUUAAUUACAGAGAGUAACUUAUUUGACAUUCUGGAAUAAAACGGCUCACCGUUAUUGAGAAAAUGGCUAACCGUUUAUUUCCAGAGAGCGUGUUUUUGCGUCAACUGGAAAAACGGUUAGCAAGCUUGGAAAUUUCAAUUGUCAAUCGAUGCAAACUCAAACCAAAAGAGUGUUUUUUAAAGAAGUACCAUUUUUAAUGGUUGUAUUCUUUCAAAUAAACAUCUUCUUUAUUAAAGAUAAACAAACUAUUAUAUCAUAAUCAGAUUUUGCAGGUUUCAUAUAUGUUCUGGAAAUACAAUCUUAUUUUCUAGAGAUUGUAUUCAGGAUUUGAUAUAUCUUAGGGGUAAUUUGCCAUUAAAACUCUAUAGCAAACCAAGAUUGGUGAGGGCAAAUAAAACCUUAAAGAAAAGUGUGCAAACACGUCUCAAAUCCUAAGAAAUUUUCUUUGUUCUUUGCCUCCAUAUUCUUAAAAUUUGAAAAUUCACCCAUCAAUCUUUAAGGUUUUAUUUUGAUGCAAAUAGAGGCUGAGAAGAGUUUGACGCCAUUUCUUAAUCCUAGUGUCCAUCUCGAUCGUUUUGAUGGAACAAAUUUCACUCGUUGGAAGGGAAAAUUGUUCUUUCUUCUUACUGUUCUUAAAGUGACAUAUGUUCUUGAUCCGAAAUUGGAACCAUUUCCAGAACCAAGAGAAGAUGAUACCGAAGUUGUUAAGGCUGCAAGGAAACGUCGUGAAGAUGAUGAAUUGAUGUGCCGGGGUCACAUACUCAAUACGCGUUCUGACAGGUUAUAUGAUCUCUACAAUUUUAUGACUUCUCCGGUGGAAAUUUGGAAUGCUCUUAAGUACAAAUACAAAACGGAGAAAGAAGGUACUGACAAAUUCCUUGUCUCUAAAUAUUUUGAAUUUAUUAUGAUAGACACACAAUCCAUUCUUGAUCAAAUACAUGAGUUAUAAAUUAUUGUUGCUAAGCUUCGAGAGUUAAAAGUUGAAAUUUUUGAAUCAUUUCAAGUUGGGACUAUUAUUGCUAAAUUGCCUCAAAGUUGGAAUGAUUAUAGAAAGAAACUCCUUCAUAGUAAAGAGAACAUAACUUUAGAAGAAUUGCAAAAACACUUGAUAAUUGAAGAAGAGACUAGGUCUCGCGAAUCCAAGGAUAAGCAUGAUUCUACUAAAGUUAAUGUUCUUGAAGCUAGUAAAUUCUCAAAGAAUUUUAAAGUCAAGAAUGACAAGAAAUUUAAGAAGUCCAGCACACAAAAGUUUUCUGGAAAUUGUUUCUUUUGUGGUAAGAAAGGUCAUCGCCAAAGUGAUUGCAGAUUCAAGAAAAAAAAAAGGAAGAAGUGGAUUCCUAUAAAGCUAAUGUUAUUGAAAACAAAUCUGAAAAGAUUUGUGCUAUGGUUUCUGAAAUGCAAAUUGGCAUGAUUAUCGAAACCAAUAUGGCUGAAACUAAGUCCUAUGAUUGGUGGCUCGAUUCGGGUACAACAAUUCAUGUUUGUAAUGAUAAGAAAUUUUUAUUAUCAUACAAAGAAGAAACGGAAGGACAAAUGGUUCUCAUGGGGAACAAUAAUGCAGCCAUAGUAGCAGGGAAAUGAGUAGUUGAGAUCAACUUCACUUCUAGAAAGAAAGUCACAUUGUAUAAUGUCUUUCAUGUACCUUUCGUUAGGAAGAAUCUUAUUUCUGCUAGUUGUAUGUGUAAGCAUGGGCUUAAGAUUGUGCUUGAGGGUAAUACUUGUAUUAUCUCAAAGAAUGAAUUAUUUGUUGGGAAAUGGUAUUCUUGUGAUGGAAUGUACAAACUCAACAUUAAUAAUAAUAAUAUCAACUUAGCUUAUAUUGUUGAGUCUUGUGAUGUUUGGCAUGCUAAAUUAGCACAUUUGAAUUUUAGAUCUUUGAAAUACAUGUCUGAGCAUGGUUUGAUUAAUUGCAAUGAUGUUAAAGGUCAUAAGUGUGAAAUCUGCAUCCAAGCUAAAUUAACUAAGAAACAUUUUCUUAAAGCCGAACGAAAUACUCAAAUAUUGGACUUAAUAUAUACCGAUAUUUGUGAGUAUAAUGGCGUUUUAACAAGAGGAGGUAAGAAGUACUUUAUCACUUUUAUUGAUGAUUGUUCUAGAUACACUUAUGUGUAUUUACUUAGAACAAAAAAUGAAGCUUUUGAUAAAUUUAAAAUUUUCAAAGCUGAAGUUGAGAACUAAAAAGAUAAGAAAAUCAAAAUGGUUCGUAGUGAUAGAGGUGGUGAAUAUUUCUCAAUUGAAUUUAAUAAUUAUUGUGAAGAAUUUGGAAUUAUUCACCAAAGAUCAGCUCCAUUUACUCCUCAACAAAGUGGUUUGGCUAAAAGAAAGAAUAAGAUCUUCACAGAUAUGAUAAAUUCCAUGAUCCUUAAUGCAAAACUACCAAAUAAUUUGUGGGGGGAAGCAUUACUCACUGCAUGUCAUAUUCAUAACAGAAUUACAUAUUUGAAAACACAUAUAUCUCUUUAUGAAAUUUGGAAAGGAAGAAAACCAAACUUGAUGUAUUUAAGGGUCUAGGGUUGUUUAGCUUUUUAUAAAAUACAUGAUCCUAAAUCAUCAAAGUUAUGUGCUAGAUGUAUAAAGAGUGUUUUCGUAGGAUAUGCUGAAAAUUCCAAGGCUUAUAGGUUGUUAGAUUUAGAUUAUAAUGUGAUUGUGGAAUCUAGAGAUGUUGAAUUUAUUGAGAAUAAAUUUCAACAUGAUUCUAAUAUUGAAUUAGAAUCAAUUAUUGAUCAACCAUGUGUUAAUACUCCUGUUACCUCCACUAACAAUAAUAAAAGGAAAGACUCUAUGACAUCUUUCGAACCAAUGAGGAGUCAAGGUGAAAAGAAAGAAAAGAGUUUAGCUCCGAAUUUUAUUUCAUCACAAGCACUACUCUUCUUGGUUGAAGGGGAUAGAAAGAAUGUACUUAACAAAGUACCAUUGUUGUUAAAUAUUGAAAAAGAUCCAAAGACAUUUAGCGAAGCUAUGUCUUCUAGAGACGCUUCUUUUUGGAGAGAGGCGGUAAAUGAUGAAAUUGAUUCGAUUAUUUCGAAUCAAACAUGGGUCUUGGUUGAUCUUCCUCCAGGAUCUAAACCAAUUAGCAGCAAAUGGGUAUUUAGAAGAAAGUACAAUAGUGAUGGUUCUUUGCAAACUUUUUAGGCUAGAUUAGUAGCCAAAGGGUUUAAGCAAAGAAAUGGUAUUGGUUAUUUCGAUACAUAUGCUUCGGUAGCAAGGUUAACUUCUAUAAGAGUGCUAUUUGCAAUUGCUUCAUUGAAUAAUUUGUAUGUGCAACUAAUGGAUGUUAAAACCGCUUUUCUUAAUGGUGAUCUUGAUGAAGAAAUCUAUAUGGAACAACCUGAGGGAUUUGUUUUACCAGGAAAUGAGAAAAAAGGUAUGCAAGUUAGUCAAAUCACUUUAUGGUUUAAAGCAAGCACCAAAACAAUGGCAUGAGAAGUUUGAUUCGGUAAUUUUAUCUCAUGGUUUUAAGCAUAAUAAUGCUGAUAAAUGUAUAUAUUUUAAAGUUACGAAUGAUUUUGGUGUGAUUAUAUGCUUGUAUGUUGAUGACUUGCUUAUCUUUGGAACAAAUAUGCAAGGAGUAGAUGAUACAAAGAAGUAUUUAACUUCACAAUUUAAGAUAAAAGAUCUUGGUGAAGUAGAUACUAUCUUAGGUGUCAAAGUGAAGAAACAUAGUGGGGGUUACUCGUUGUGUCAAUCUCAUUAUAUAGAGAAAGUGCUUCUUAAAUUCAAUUAUUUGAAAUUUAAAGAAGCUAAUACCCCAUAUGAUUCUAGUAUUAAAUUAUUAGAGAAUUCAGGCCGAGUAGUAGCACAACUAGAAUAUGCUAGUGCUAUUGGUAGCUUGAUGUAUGCUAUGCAUUGUACGAGGCCUGAUAUAGCAUUUGCAGUUUGCAAAAUGUCAAGAUUCACGAGUAACCCUAGUGUUGAACACUGGAAAUCAAUUGGUAGAAUACUUGGUUAUCUUAAAAGGACCAUUAAUUUGGGUUUGUUUUAUAAUGAUUAUCUUGAAGUACUGGAAGGAUAUUCAGAUGCUAGUUGGGUAACCAAUACAAGAGAUAAUAAAUCCACUUCUGGUUGGAUUUUUACAAUUGCUGGAGGAGCAGUUUCUUGGGCUUCAAAGAAACAAAUGUACAUAACUCAUUCAACAAUGGAAAGUGAGUUUAUAGCACUCGCAGUUGCAAGCAAGGAAGUAGAAUGGCUGAGAAAUUUGUUGUUUGAUAUAAUGUUAUGGCCACAACCGAUGCCAUCUAUUUCUUUGUACUGCGAUAGUGAAGCUACAUUGUCUAGAGCUUAUAAUAAAGUGUAUAAUGGAAAGUCUAGACAUAUUAGCUUGAGACAUGAAUAUGUGAAACAAUUAAUAGCAGAUGGUGUUAUUAAUAUUGUUUAUGUUAGGACUAAUAAGAACCUAGCGGAUCCUUUAACAAAAGGUCUUACAAGAGACUUAGUUAAGGAUACAUCUUUUGGAAUGGGAUUGAAACCUUUAAAUAAUAAAGUCACCAACGACGAUAACCCAACUAUGUAGUAGUUGCACCGCUACUCCAUAGUUAAAUGGAUAAUAACAAGUUGUUGUUAUGUGACUGGUUUGGCACCGAGUAAUAAAUAAUCACAUUCGAGAUAUUCGGUGCAAAUAGCUACGAGGUUGAGGUUGAGUAUUUACUCUUAAUGAAGUUCAAGUCUUAUACUAGCUAAAGACAUGAUUUGAAACUUCACCUAAGUGAACAUAAGAAAUGGUGCCGUUUCUAACAAGAUCAUGGUUUAAUCUAGUAAAUGUUUAUGAAUCCAAGAUAGAGCACAAGGCCGGAAUAGUGCUAAAUAUUGGAACACAACUUUGAAAAUCUGGGAUAGCUUAUAUGUGAUGUAUCUCCGGUAUUUACUUAAGAGACAAAGUUUAAUGCUUAGCACACUAUUGUUUUGUAAAUGCUUUGAAAUACACUCACUAAUUAAAGGUUAAAAUCGAAAGAUAUCGUUUUGUAUGUAUAAGUUUAUCAUUAAUAAAUAUGAAAAAUAUUACAAUCUAGUGGGGGAUUGUAAGAGAGAUUGUAACAUUUUCAAUCUUUGGUUUGAUAUUCUGGAAGAAAACGGUUUGCCGUUUAUGGAGAAAACGGCUAACUGUUUAAUUCCAAAUAGCAUGUUUUCUGUUCUAGAGAAAACGACUAACUAUUUGGAGAAAAUGGCUAACUGUUUAAUUUUAGAGAGCAUGUUUUCUGUUCUAGAGAAAACGGCUAACCGUUUGGAUAAAACGGCCAACCGUUAAUUACAGAGAGUAACUUAUUUGACAUUCUGGAAUAAAACGGCUCACCGUUAUUGAGAAAACGGCUAACCAUUUAUUUCCAGAGAGCGUGUUUUUGCGUCAACUGGAAAAACGGUUAGCAAGCUUGGAAAUUUCAAUUGUCAAUCGAUGCAAACUCAAACCAAAAGAGUGUUUUUUUAAAGAAGUACCAUUUCUAAUAGUUGUAUUCUUUCAAAUAAACAUCUUCUUUAUUAAAGAUAGACAAACAAUUAGAUCAUAAUCAGAUUUUGCAGGUUUCAUAUAUGUUUUGGAAAUACAAUCUUAUUUGCUAGAGAUUGUAUUCAGGAUUUGAUAUAUCUUGGGGGUAAUUUGCCAUUAAAACUCUAUAGCAAACCAAGAUUGGUGAGGGCAAAUAAAACCUUAAAGGAAAGUGUGCAAACACGUCUCAAAUCCUAAGAAUUGUUUUUUGUUCUUUGUCUCAAUAUUCUUAAAAUUCGAAAAUUCACCCAUCAUAUACAUACUACAUAUUAUUAAUUUUUGUUUUAUAACUAUAGUUUUUUUUUUACCGCAACUGUAGUUUAAAAACUACAGCACCUCAAUCCCAAAUAAGACCUUAGUAGAAGUGAGCGCGAAAGCCGAUCACCCAACAUUCGCGCUUGUGAGAGACUCCACUCUCUCCACUCCUUCCAAAUCCAAAAUCCUCGACCGUUUCAAAAAUCUCAGCUCGACCGUUUCAAAAAUCUCAGCGUCAAUUUAGUUCAUGUGCGCCACUCUUUUAGCUUUCCAAUUUUCCCGCCAAUUUUCUUUUAUUGUGAUUAAUUAAUUAAUUAAUGUAAAGAUUUUAUAUUAUAAUUUUGUUUGCAGGGAGAUCUAUACAGCCAUGAGAGCUUGGUGAGUACAAUAAAGCAAGUGGAUGUGGUGAUAUCAGCGAUAGGUCGCACUCAAUUAGCUGAUCAACUCAACAUUAUCGCAGCAAAUUGCGAUAACUAAGUACUUGGGAUUUUAAAGAAGCUGGAAAUGUUAAGGUUCUGAUUAACUUAAGUAAAUGCGUUAACUAAUUACUUGGGAUUUUAAAUUCAAAUGUGUGAAUUGUUCUAAAAAAUUAUUUAUGUUUAUUAGUCAGAGAUUCUUUCCUUCAGAAUUUGGAAAUGAUGUUGAUCGCGUGCAUGUCGUUGAGCCAGCAAGAACAUCAUUUGCCACCAAGGCUAAAAUCCGCCGAGCUGUUGAGGAUGAAGGAAUUCCAUACACCUACGUAGCUACGUAGCUUCCAAUUUCUUCGCUGGUUUGUAUCUUUCCAGUUUCUCACAGCCUGAAGCCACAGCUCCUCCAAGGGAUAAAGUGGUCAUCGUAGGUGAUGGAAAUGCAAAAGGCAAAGCGCUUCUGGAUACAUUUACUCUGUACACGCAAUGUGUGGUUACUGUUUGGAGAUAAAAAAGGAGAUUAAUUAAUAAAGAAAAUGAAAUUAUUGAGGGAUUUGCUGAAGAGUUGCGUGCACUCCUCAUUUUUCUCCACCACUCAUCUUACUUGCAAAAUGCAAUGACCAAACUAUCCUCGCCAAAGCCUAGACAUUUACUUGUGUUCAAAGGCCAUUUAAGGGAGACAAGUACAAAAAGUUAUAAAGGAUAGUAAGCAGAAGAAGAAAAUGGAAAGGGGAGGGGGGGGGGGGGAGAAUAAAAAAGGGGAGUGGGGCGUUAUCUAGGGAGGAUUUUUAUUUUUAUUUUUUUUCCUCUCUUCUCCAUGGCAUCUCUUUCUCUCUUUCUCCCACUAAGAAAUUCUUUCUUUUACACUCUAUUUUACUUUUAUGCAAAUUACGCAAAAAACUUUUGGUUUUAAGGCAAUGUUUAUUAAGCCACGUGAAUUUGAAAAAGCAUGAAUAAGGGGAUGAUUUUAACACAUUAAUUCACCAACAUUAAUUGGAAAAGAUCAGUUGCCACUUCGAAUCAGAGUAAUUUCUUCGGCAAUAGCCAAAUAUUGAUAUUUGAUCUUGACACUGUAGUUAAAUCAAUGUAACUGAUUUUGUCAUUUGAUCCCCAGUAAUUUUUAACAAGGAAGACGAUAUUGGGAUUAAUUCUAUCAAAGCGGUGGAUGAUCCAAGAACACUGAACAAAAUACUUUACAUCAGACCCCGUUGCAAUAUCUACUCAUUUAAUGAUCUUGUGUCUCUGUGGGAGGAAAAGAUUGGCAAAGCCCUUGACAGGGUCUAUGUUACAGAGGAACAACUUCUGAAAAACAUUCAAGGUUAGUUAGAACUAUCACUUUAUCAAGUGGAUAGAUGUAACUGACCGAUAAUGGAAAUUUUUUUCCUUCUCCAAAAUGCGAUAGAAUCUAAUCGGUUUCAACAAUCUCAAGAACACCUAUUCAUGGUUGUGUUGUUUGAAAUCUGUAUGUAUCAGUUUUCUUUCUAGAUCUCAGAUUGCUCGCAAGGAUGUCAAGUUUUGAUGAUGCUUGCCUGUUUUCCUGUGUUUACAGAAGCUUCAUAUCCACUCAAUAUGAUAUUACCUAUUGGGCACUCUGCCUAUGUCCUGGGAGAUCAGACCAACUUCGAAAUUGAACCUUCAUUUGGAGUAGAGGCAACAGAGCUUUAUCCAGAUGUCAACUACACUACUGUGGAUGAGUACCUCAACCAGUUCAUAUAAACCUUCUGAGAUGAGCAGCAGGAUCCUAACAAAAAAUUGGGUGGUUUCCAUCCCUGAUUCUAUGGUAUAAAGAUAGCGGCUUUCCCUGCUUUUGCCAGUUCAGUGAAGUUUGUUAGAUGAUGUUAUUUAUACUAUACUAGCAAAGAUCAAGUUGCCUUUCUUGUCAAGAAGCCAAGCUCUGGCAUUGGUUUAUGCUAGUUUUUCACACUAAUAUUGGUAUUCACUAAUUUUUUUUUUUCAUUUCACACCGCCAUCAUCAGUGGAGAUGCCCUCUUGUAUGGUACUAACUUUGAUUUUCCUUAUGCUUCACUUGCUGUCUCUGCAGAUUCGUAAAAGAUCAUUCAUGGAUAAGAUCAGAACAUCAAUUUGAUACAGUAUGCAUUGAGAACUCCCACAUGAUUCUUGUUCUAGUUCUGGUUAGACAUGAAACAUGUUACAGUUCCAUAACUUGAGACAUUGUCAUUCAACAAUUAUCAUCACAUUAAAACAGUGGCCAAUCCCUAACAGCUACCUUUUGACUCUUCACAUUUUUUUUCUGCAUUUUAUGCGCAUUAAUUAUCUAGACCUAGACUUAUUACACUUCUCAGCCUGGCCCGUUGGACAGUGAGUGAUGAAACAAAUUUUUUUUCAUGUUUAUUACUUUUUUUGCAUUCAAAAUGAUAAAACUGCAGAGGUUGUUGCAUGCACGUCAUUUGUUAGUAGGGGUAUCAAUUUAUGAACGUAUGAAGUAUCUCUUCUGCACCGGCAUCCUCCUUAACUGUCAGUAGGAUCACAAUAAGUCGACCAACCAUCUACCGUAUGGAUUAUCUAUAAAUUGAAAUUGGUGUGUAUUAUGGAUCUGUCACUCUGCUGCUUCUGUUUUCUUUUCUAUUUUUACCAAGAAAGAAACAUUGUUAAAACUGAAUGGUUGUUAUCUCGUCUUGUUGUAAUGUUGUGUAUGCUUUCUAGAAAAUAAUGAAGUGCCAAAUAUGAAAAUACUAGUGGCUACCUUACCAUCCUUAAUAAGUUGUCUGAUUGUCACCGUCAACAAUCACUCUCAGCAACUCAUAAUCCAUUUAAGCAUAUUAUAAAAUAAUCAAUUUUGUAUUUGCACCAACUUUUAGUUUUAAAUGACAAUUUCGUUGAUCCCCACACUUCUGUACUAAUCAAAUCCACUGAAACUGGACUUUUUUUUCUUUUUUUUUAUAAUUACAUCGAUUGCAUUGGCUAUUGCAGGGAAAAGACUGCCUCUACAGGGAACUAAACUUUCAGAAUUGAUCUUAUGAGGGUUUGAAUAUGCUCUCGUACUAGGUCAAUGGCCUAUUGGUUCGAGACCAUUCACAAAGAAAGAAAUGAGUUUUGCUUGUAUAAAUGAAAGAAAUCCAAAUGAUAACUAAUGUAUAGUGGUACAUGAGAAAAAUAAUUUCAGCCCCUGUGUAAAGUCAAAAAGAGAAAAUAUUAAAAGAAAGGAUAAUGUCAUUGAGUUCGGUGAAGUGAAAGAAAAUAAAAAACAUGGGAUUUAGUCAAACUUAGUGUCCCAAUCAGCAGAAAAAGGUUUUAGAAACUCACCUCAAGUUAAGCCAACUAUUAGGAGCUUUAUUUAAUCAUGGCUUUCUAAUGUAUAGUACUCCAAUACUAAACGAGGGCUACCUCUACGCUUGCAAAUGUAAAUGAAAUUGAGUUCGUGACGCACAAUGAAGUGAGCAAAAUGAGUUGAGAUCUGAGAAUAUAUUAAAGAAAAUAUGAAUCAAUGAAUUUUGGUUAAAAAAAACAAAUGCUGGUUCUUCAAGACCUGCGUGUAUUGUGUAAGUUUUGUUAGGAGAAGGAAAGCAUUUUGGUCUAAAACGCACUAAAUCGGAUUCAUUUGCUUGAUAUCUAAUAAGGGUGAAUUAACCACUCGCCCACAGCAAUUCAAGUACCCAAAAAAGUUUUGUGGGGGCUAAAUUUCUUCUUUAAUUAUAAAAAAUAAUUGAACGGAGGAUAAAAAUUUAGGCCAUGUAUAACAAUAACUAAUAUAAACUAGUCCUAAUAAUAGUAUAAUUGUAAAUAUCAGUUGUAGUCUCAUACAAUAUAAGUUUAUAGAUUAUAAUAUCGGCAUAAAAAGAAAAAUGAUAUCUGACGGUCAAUCAAUAAAAGGAUAAAAACUUUGGAGUAACAUACCACAAAGUCAAUGUAGCUGGACAGUGAAUAUAAUAUGUAAACAAAUUUAAAUGGGAUAAUACCAUACGGUACAUACAUAACAUUUUAAAACUGAAUUAAAAAAAUAAAAUUAAAACUGAAUUAGAAUUCGUAUGUGUAUCCAGCUACCUUGCCACAGUUGUAAGGUACCCUAACUUUGCAACAAUUUCAUCCUUCGUGCAUUCGGUCACAAAGUCCAAAUUAGGCACGUUUAAGAAUCGAACUGAAAAACUAAAAAAAAGAAUCCGGCGAUAUUUGCGAACCGGAAACGAGCCAGCGUUAUGCUUAUGUCAUUUCAGAGAUAUCAACAGUCGUGCUUUCAGUCCUUAAACCUCAAGGGCAUUUUCGUCCUUUCACUCAAGCGUGAAACUGCAUGUAAGAACUGCUUCGCUUACACGCUCCAUGCACAUUUAAAGGCACCACUGUCGGAUAAAAAAUAUCCAUCCAUUUGAUCAUUUCAAAACAAAACGAAAAAAAAAAUCUCAGUAAUUGAACUGAACGAGUCUCAGAAAUGGCAUCGAAAAGUAAGAUUCUAUUCAUCGGCGGGACAGGGUAUAUCGGUAAAUUCACUGUCGAAGCGAGCGUAAAAGCCGGCCACCCGACGUUCGUGCUCGUGAGAGAAUCCACAAUCUCUGGUCCUUCCAAAUCUCAACUCCUCGAUCACUUCAAAAACCUCGGCGUCAAUCUCGUCAUAGUGCGUUUUCAUUUUUCUCUUUUCUUAAUUUUUUAUUCCGAUCAUUUUUACACGUCGAAGUGUAGCAUCUACUACUUAAUAUACAUAAUGAUAUUAUUAUUUUUUAAUUUUUUUGGGUUGCUGUUAUUAUUAUGCAGGGAGAUGUGUUGAAUCACGAGAGUUUGGUGAAGGCGAUUAAACAAGUGGACGUGGUGAUAUCAACGGUCGGUCACACUUUAUUAGCUGAUCAGGUCAAGAUUAUUGCUGCCAUUAAAGAAGCCGGUAACGUUAAGGUAUAACAUAAUUAAUAUAAAUAUCUUGAAUUCCGAUCAGGAUUGUGCACUCGCGAACACGUGGUGAUUUAUUCUUGGUGUGGAGCUCGCUGUAGAGUAGAGCUCCCAGUUCAGCUAAUAAACACCCCGUCACAUGCGCAAUUGCGCCUCAAAAUAAUUUAAUUGAUUAAUUAAGGAUAAAUACCAAUGGCAUGAAAGCAAUUAAAAUUAGUUGAUGUUUAUAAAUUAUUUAUUACUCAGAGAUUCUUACCAUCGGAAUUUGGAAAUGAUGUUGAUCGAGUUGAAGGCGCCGUAGAGCCAACAAAAUCGACGUAUGACGUAAAGGCGAAAAUCCGCCGAGCCGUUGAGGCAGAAGGCAUUCCGUACACUUACGUAGAAUCUUAUUGUUUUGAUGGCUAUUUCCUCCCCAAUUUGUUGCAGCCUGAGGCCACUGCCCCCCCUAGGGAUAAGGUUGUCAUCUUAGGCGAUGGAAAUCCAAAAGGUAAUAUAAUUUAAUUAAGCUCUGUUUGUUUGGUAUGUAUUUCGGUGUUAAUGUUAUUGUCUGUUGUACAAUGGAUGGUCUUGCUUGGUACUGUUGUUGGAGAGCUGCAGUGUUUUGAUAAACACCUCUAUCCUUAGCUUUCAAGUUAAGUUGAUUUUAUACAACACUUGUUUAAUUCAAAACUUGUAAUAUUCUUACUACUUUGAUAAAAAAUAUUACGAUUAAAGCAUUAAUGGCACCAUAAUACGAAAUGAACCUUAAGUGGUCAUUAUAGAUUUUAAGAUAGAGUUUUAAGUGAUUACCAGAUACUUUAGCUGCUGAACCGCCACAUCAUGGUUGCCACACAACAAUUUCAAACAGAACCUAAAUAACUUCAUUGCAAAACAGUUAAAUGAAUCUAACUUAGUUUCGUCGUUUGAUUUUCAGCUGUUUUUAACAAGGAAGAUGAUAUUGGAACCUACACUAUCAAAGCGGUUGAUGAUCCGAGAACCUUGAACAAAAACUUUUACAUUCAGCCUCCCGGUAAUAUUUACUCAUUCAAUGAUCUUGUGUCUCUGUGGGAGAGAAAGAUUGGUAAAACCCUCGAAAAGGAGUAUGUUUCAGAGGAGCAGCUCCUAAAGAAUAUUCAAGGUUGGUUAAAACUCUCUUUUUUAAAUGUAUUAAAGAGAGCCGUAUAUUCUCUGCCGUAAAUGUCAUUGAUCCUGUCUUCUCCAAAAUGUUGCAGAAGCUGCACCUCCACACAAAGUGAUAUUAUCAAUUUAUCACUCUGCUUUCGUGAAGGGAGUUCAAACCAACUUCAAGAUUGAACCAUCUUUUGGAGUUGAAGCCUCGCAGCUUUAUCCUGAUGUCAAGUACACUACAGUUGAUGAGUACCUCAAUCAGUUUGUGUAACCCUUCGCUGUUUCCAGCUGCAGCUUGCAGGAUCUUGGACUGUUGGUAAAUAAAUAAUUGGCUUGUUGCCAUCUUUGGUUUUAUAUGUAAAAAUUAUGGUUGUUGGCCUUACUUUCUUCUGGUUGUCCAUGGAAUUUGUUAGACCAUAUUAUGUUUGCUAUGUCAGUGAUCAAAUGAAGUAGACCAUGUACUUGAUUUGAGAGUAGUAGUUAUAAAGCCAUCAUGAUCAGGUGGGUGCGUGGGUUGGGCUUCUAUUAGGGUGCGUGUGUUGGGGGGCUUCAGGGGCUUGUGAUAUGGGUUCGACAGCCCCUAACGGGCAGUCAUUAUAAAAAUGAUUAUAGAGUUACAAAUCUAUGUAAAAAGCAAAAAUUAAAAGUAAUUUAUCAAUAAAAAUAAUUAAAAUUAAUAAAAAGUAGGUAUGAUAUUUCAGAAAUUAAAUUAAAGAUAGCAUUCUAAAGAGUUGGAUAAUCCUUCAACUAAACUAAAGAUCUAGUACAUUUGAGAGCAAAUUUAAUUAAAGAAAAGGAUAAGGAAAAACAAUAGAAUAAUAAUAUUAAAAAAUUGCAAAUCUUGGUCUUUUUUUGUUACGAUGAUGUUGAAUUCUUAUAAAUUUAAUCUUAUCUAUAGAGUUAUUUAGUUACUGUAUGUCAAAAUUUCCUAUAAAGAUGAAGAAAAAUUAUAUUAGGAGAAUAUCCAAAUCCGUUUAACUAAUGCAUCAUCAACAACAUGAGUACAACAUUUUCGAAUAAACAAAAGAAACUCGUUAUAUGUGCGAACCAGUUCCAAAAUAAAGAGCAGACUAUUGGAAGGAGACAAAUACGACAAGAAGAACAAAACAUUCUACAGUUCCUACAUGAGCCCGCAACAAUUAAUUAUUAACUCGACAUUCAUUACACUUUUUCUUUAAUUUGAAAGAAACCAAAAAUAAGAUAAAAUUGACUAAGAAAUAAAAAAGUGACCAAAAUCUUUUUGAAGUUUUGCCAGUUCAGCCAUGCACGCUUAUCUUUAUUCACUUUUUCCUUUCUUUCCUUUCUUUGCUGAAGCCUUCACAGAUCCUUUACCUUUCUGAGCCUUGCCAAUUUUCCCCUUCUUCAAACCACCUGGCCUUGCUGGAUCCACGUGUCCUUGCAUCCUUUUUCAUUCGUGGAUCAACAAGAAUCUCCCCCUUUCCAGCUCUCUCUUGAACUCCUUGCUUUGCGACCAUGUAUUCUUUUGUAGGCCUUUUGGGUAUAAUUGUUCAAUUUGAUUCCGCUUCGAACGAUCAGAGAUGUCCGCUUAGUCUGAUAUGACAUUUGCCUUCUUGCGAACCUUCUCAAGAUUUCGCAUGGCACCGUAUCUUUCGAGCUUUGGUCUUAGCCACGCUCUUGGCAGUAAGGGUGGGCCAUUCGGUUUUGGGAUAAACUUUUGGUUUCGUAUCGGUUUAGAUUCAAAAAUAAUAUAUAAAAAUAAGUAGAUUUUAAUGGAAAAAAUCCAAACUGAAACUGACCUAUCGAUUUCGGCUCGGUUUCAGUUCAGUUUCGAUUCUCCUAAUAGUUUUAUUUUGCCUUAUUGACUUCCGGUCAAUGACACUUUUGAAAAAUUUACAAAAAAAAAAAAAACUGGCCAUAACAAAAUUUCUAUAUGCAAAUAUUUCCUAAACAUUGGGCUAUACUAAAUUUUUUUCAAAGGUAGGGAUCCAAACGAUAUUAUCCCUCUACUUCAUCUUCAACCUUCGUCACUAGGGAUGGCAAAAUCCGAGUCCGGGUCCGGGUAUAGCCAUUCCGGAUCCGGACCCGAACGAAUAUUUUCUAUACCGGACCCAGAAAUAAACCCGUAUUUUUCCACUCCGAGUCCGAUACGGGUUCAACCCGGAAAAAUUCGGGUUCCCAGACUGCGGGUUUCUAACCCGGAUUGAUGAAUCCAAUUGAAAAAAAAAAACUAAAUUUGACUAAAAAAAUCAAAUAGAAAUACAUAUCUAGGAUUUCAACAAAUCAAAAAAAAAUUAUUUCAUCUGGAAACUAAUUAACAAAAACAACAAUUUUGUUUGGCUGCCCAGAAUCAGCAACCCAAUGUGGCGGCUCGUUCAAAACAUUAGUGUUUUCAACAGAUUUUGGGGUAGGAAAAGCCAAACCUAUCUAGAACAAUGAAUUUGUAUUUUUGGGGGAGAUGGGGUACCUCACUGGUUUGUUGUAUGCGGUGCAGUGUAUCUGAAAUUUGGGGGAGGUGAGAAGGGGAGAGGGAGUGGUAACAAUGGUGAAAGGUCAAAACCAAGAGAGAUGUCCUUCAAAAUGAGCUCACACAUGUAAAACAGUGAAAUAGAGGUUAGAGGUGAAGCCGGGGUACCCCGGCAUUCACACUCCGACGCUCAAGUUAGCAAACUCAAGCUUUUAUGACAAAGAGAACUGGCUAGCCCUCUGUAAAUUAGGGUUUAAGGUUCAAGGAAACCUAUUUUUUAGAGUGUGAGUGUUAAUGGUGAGUGAGAGACCUCUUGGAGAAUGAAACCCAGGUGCCUUUAUAUAUGGAGUACCUCAGCUGCCACGUGGCAUACCCUUUUUAGCUAACGUCUUUUUUCCUUUUUAUGAUUUUUUGGCCGUUAUGUGCAUGUUCGCGGCGUAUCUCAUCUUUUGGAAAUGUGGCGUGCGCUGGAGAGUGGUCCAGGGUACCUCUGCAGUAAUUGUCGGGUAGGCGGCUGAGGACCACUGUCCUUGGGACAAUGUCCUUCACUUUUGGUAGAGGUGACAGGCGGCUGUCCCCCCUUUUAGCACGACAUUUUUGAUUCCUAAUUCUGACAAAAUCGAAUAAUAUCUUUUAAGAGAUGGAGACGUUUCUCAUGGUAGAUAUUUUCGGAGGAUUCUCUGGCAUCCGAUCAGCCGGGUUCCUCCAGUUACGCGGGGUACCUCAAUUUAUGUGGGGUACCUCUAAUUGUGCGGGGUACCUUUAUUUGCGCAAGGUACCUUGAAUCAUGCCAGGUACCUCAGAUUAUGUGAGGUAUCUCUAAUUGUGCGAGAUACCUCUAUUUGCGCAAGGUACCUUGAAUCAUGCUGGGUACCUCAGAUUGUGUGGGAUACUUCUAUUUUCGCAGGGUACCUUGAAUCAUGUUGGGCACCUCAGAUUGUGCGGGGUACUUCUAUUUGCGCAGGGUACCUUGAGUCAUGCGAGGUACCUCUAAUCAGGCCAGGUACCUCUAAUCGUGCUGGGUACGUCUAAUCAUGCGGGGUACCUCUAAUCAGGCCGGGUACCUCUAAUCACGCCGGGUACCUCUAAUCAUGUGGGGUAUCUCUAAUCAGGCCGGAUACUUCAGAUUGUGCGGGAUACCUCAGAUUAUGCGGGGUACCUCUAUUUGCGCAAGGUACCUUGAAUCAUGUCAGGUAUUUCAGAUUGUGCGGGGUACCUCAAAUUGUGUGGGGUACCUCUAAUCGUGCGGGGUACCUCUAAUCAUGUCGGGUACCUCGGAUUGCACUGAAGUUAUUUCAUUCGUUGACACGUGGCGAUAUACUAUCUUUCCUAUUUUUCCCUCAAACAACAUCCCCCUAGUUUCUUUUGGCGAGAAGUUUUAGAGGCAAAAGAAAUUUACAUAAAAAGUAGGAGCGACACGUGGCGAUAUGAUGUUUAGCUCGAUGGGUAACUAAAUAGAGGGCGCCUCUAGGGGUACCCUGAGAACCCAAAAAGGGAAGAUGAGUUCCCUUUCCUCGGAAAUGACUACCACUUUGGACAUGUUGGAAAUGACAGAGCUAAUUGAUCAAAAAAUUUUCAUCUAUUUCUGGGGAAGAACACCAAAUACUGGUAGAAGGUAUCGUUAGGGUACCCCACCAUUAUCCAUAGUUUGUUUUCUAGUGACUGCCAUGGAUAAAUCGCUCUGGUGAAGGCUUCAAUGCAUUCUUUGGGCAUUUAAGAAGCAAUUAUUUAAUUAUCUCGGGAUCCACCUUAUUUAAGGGUACAUUUCCUUCAUGUUCUUCGAAGACAAAAAUAAAAUCAUAGGGCUUCCUUCCUUGCAACUUCAGAGGUACCCUCGACAGAAGAACAUAGUCGACAAUGCUUUUAAGCGUAUCAUGAUCGAGGAAUGGAGUGCUGAUCUGGGGUUGGUGGUGCCAAGAGUGGAGAAGAUGGUAGAUGAACCGGCUAUCUUGAAGGCGAUUGACGAUAGCGGGGCUCCUAACACAUCUUGGUCUGAAAGCCCAUUGAGAUUAGCUGAGGUACCUCAGAUGAAGUAUCUAUAAGGUACCCCUGAUACUAACCCUUGUGUUUUUGCUACUUUUAGCACUUUUGUUGAUCCCCUCAUCUUAAGGGAUGAAGUUGAAGAUAACCAUCCUGCUGUGUAACCUUGUUCGGCAUUACUGACAAGGUGUAUGGGGUACCUCGGGUACCCUAAUGCUUGGAUAUCCCUUGAGCUAUCUAUUACUUCAUGGCGGAAUAACCCAAUUUCAUCAACCAUAUGACGAUUCCUCCAGAUAUGCUUGUCGCUUAUCUUAAGCUUUCUUAGGGUUUCUCCCGGUGUAUCUGAGGAAUAACUUUCUGGCGUGGGGUACCCUUAAUCAGCGUAUGACGAUUUUCAUAGAAAUGCUUACCGCAAAUCUUCACAAAACUUGUGGCGGUUUCUGUUGAGAGAUGAUGGAAAACCUCAUGAUCCACCAUUCACUCUAAAUCAAAUAUGCAAGACAAAUAGUAAUAAAGGUGACUGCUCGCCUACCCUUAUGCAAAAUAGUGGAAAAUCUCAUGAUCCGCCAUUCGCGUGGAAUCAAAUAGACAACAUAGAUUGAGAUAAAUGUAGCUGCUCACCUACCCUUAUGCGAGAUGGUCGAAAACCUCAUGAUUCAUCAUUCGCAUGGAAUCAAAUAAACAAUAUAGAUUAAGAUAAAGGUGGCUGCUCGCCUACCCUUAUGCGAGAUGGUCGAAACCUCAUGAUCCACCAUUCGCAUGGAAUCAAACAUGACGAAAAAAUAAUGAUAAAGGCGGCUACUAGCGUGCCCUUUUGCUGGGUCUACUGUUGAGUAGAUUAUCAUGAUCGGAGAUUGGUCAUGUACACCUCGGGUACCCUGGAAUAAGGUACCUCGGGUACCCCGGAAUAAGGUGAUCUCUGGAUUCCAUCUUGCUUCAUAAUAAACAAUGCUCAACGACAUAUAUAAAAUUAGUUUAAUGGUGAACAUAUUAUUAUAGCAUUUCAAGCUACUCAUCCAUAUCAAAAAAUCGAGAGGCAAAUAAAAGAGCACACAUUAUCAAACUUUGUAAAGAAAAUACAUUCACAAAGAGUGGCGAUAUGGAUCAUUAUAUGACACUAUUUUAUUAUCCUAAGGAGAAUAUAGGGGAUCCCGAGAUCACUUGUUAUUGUCAUUAAAGGCUUAGGAAACUGACCAGUUUGGGGUACACUCUGGAUACCCCAUAUAGCCAAGCAUAUAUUUCAAACAUACAAGCAUUAAAGAAAACAAACAAACUAAGUAGAAGGGGGUAAAGUGUUAUCACUUUACUAGUAGUAUGACUUUUCUUUGUUGUUCUUCUGAAAGGUUGGAGCCUAUUUUGACGGUCUUUGUUGGAUCGGUGGCGCAAAUUGAGACUGAAAUUGGGUCUUCAACCAGGGUACCUCGUUUUUCAUCUUUGGGUAUUCAAGGAUCCAAAUGUGCCUCCAAUUCACAUUUGGGCUUAAUCUGGUCCCCUUAGGGUAUCCCCGCAUAACUUCAGAGUAACUAGUUAUGGGGUACCCCACCACCGAGGCCUCGAUGGUGACUCUUGCUGCUUUGAUGGUGGCGAUCUUAGAGGUUGGGGUACUCGUGAGAUACCCUGAGUUUAAACCCUCGUCCCCGCGGGGCAGCCCGUGGAGGGCUCCGAGUUUGGGGUACCCUUAGUAUUGGGGAUUCGGUUUUCUUGGGCUUCUUCUUGUUCUUUGUGACUUCGGCCUUAUUUUCUUGGCACUUCAAAUGGCAUUUCUCAUCCAUCUCCACUUACUGCAACGCCCGAGAACGGGCUUCCACAUAUGAAAGAGGGCGCUUCUUUUGAAAAGAACGUCAUACAUUGCCCAACCGUAAAUUUUUCUCAAAAUGGGUCAAUGUGUAUUGGUUUCCAAAUGCUCCGGUUCGCAGCACCUCUUAGUGGAAACGACUCACAUACUCUGUCAAAGGCUCGGCUUCCCCUUGCUUAAUAAAGGCAAGUUUGGAGACUACUCUAUCUUGAGUAGAAGCGUAGGAAAAUUCUUUAGUAAAUUCGGAUAACAAUUGGUGUUUUCAACAGAUUUUAGGGUAGGAAAAGCCAAACCUAUCUAGAACAAUGAAUUUGUAUUUUUGGGGGAGAUGAGGUACCUCACUGGUUUGUUGUGUGCGGUGCAGUGUAUCUGAAAUUUGGGGGAGGUGAGAAGGGGAGAGGGAGUGGUAACAAUGGUGAAAGGUCAAAACCAAGAGAGAUGUCCUUCAAAAUGAGCUUCACACCUGCAAAACAGUGAAAUAGAGGUUAGAGGUGAAGCCGGGGUACCCCGGCGUUCACACUCUGACGCUCAAAUUAGCAAACUCAAGCUUUUAUGCCAAAGAGAGCUGGCUAGCCCUCUGUAAAUUAGGGUUUAAGGUUAAAGGAAACCUAUUUUUUGGAGUGUGAGUGUUAAUGGUGAGUGAGAGACCUCUUGGAGAAUGAAACCCAGGCGCCUUUAUAUAUGGAGUACCUCAGCUGCCACGUGGCGUACCCUUUUUAGCUAACGUCAUUUUUCCUUUUUAUGAUUUUUAGGCCGUUAUGUGCAUGUUUGCGGCGUAUCUCAUCUUUUGGAAACGUGGCACGCGCUGGAGAGUAGUCCAGGGUACCUCUGCAGUAGCUGUCGGGUAGGCGGCUGAGGACCACUGUCCUUGGGACAAUGUCCUUCACUUUUGGUAGAGGUGACAGGCGGAUGUCCCCCCUUUUAGCACCACAUUUUUUAUUCCUAAUUCUGACAAAAUCGAAUAAUAUCUUUUAAGAGAUUGAGACGUUUCUCAUUGUGGAUAUUUUCAGAGGAUUCUCUUGCAUCCGAUCAGCCGGGUUCCUCCAGUUACGCGGGGUACCUCUAUUUGCGUAAGGUACCUUGAAUCAUGCCGGGUACCUCAGAUUGUGCGGGGUACCUCUAUUUGCGCAGGGUACCUUGAAUCAUGCUGGGCACCUCAGAUUGUGCAGGGUACCUCUAUUUGCGCAGGGUACCUUAAGUCAUGCGAGGUACCUCUAAUCAUGCGGGGUACCUCUAAUCAGGCCGGGUACCUCUAAUCACGCCGGAUACCUCUAAUCAUGCGGGGUACCUCUAAUCAGGCCGGGUACCUCAGGUUGUGCAUGGUACCUCAGAUUAUGCGGGGUACUUCUAUUUGCGCAGGGUACCUUGAAUUAUGCCAGGUAUCUCAGAUUGUUCGGGGUACCUCAAAUUGUGUGGGGUACCUCUAAUCGUGCGGGAUACCUCUAAUCAUGUCGGGUACCUCGGAUUGCACUGAAGUUAUUGCAUUCGUUGACACGUGGCGUUCUGCUAUCUUUCAUAUUUUUCCCCCAAACAAUUAGUAAAGAGAGCUAAAGAACUAGCUUUAGUUGCGAGUAGGAAGUCAAGAGUCAAGGAGCAGCCAAAGCACUUUUAAUGGUGAUGGGAAAGCUGGAGGGGUAAUGCAAAUAAGUUUACGUUGAUUGGAUAUUCAGAAGAAGUAAUACGCUAUUAAAAGCAACAAGUUUUCCAAAAAGCCAACAAAGACAGACACCAUCACACCACCCCGCACUGGAUGAAAAAAGAUGAAAUCAUGAUAAGUGGCAUCGAGUAAGCCACGUUCUCUCUCUCUCUCUCUCACUCGCACUCGCACACACUGUUACUAAAAUGACCAAAAAAUAAGAUUCCCAUCAAAAUAUUUUCGAGUAUCAUUCUUAAAAGUGACGGCGGCUGAUGAUGAUGAACACAGCCGCGAUUGCGAUUGGCGAAGGCGGCGUUCAACCCGUAUCACAGCUGGUUAUCGGUCGCGGCGGAAAAGAUAAGGAAACGACAGUUGAUAAUGAUGAUGAUGAUGUUGAACAGCCGCGAAGAUGGGUAAGUGAUGCGACGAUGAUUUGAUUUGAUGAAGAUGAGCUGAAGAGGGAAUAAGAGAGGAAAUGUUUGUGCGGCUGGGAAAGUGUAAUGAGCUGCUAGGGCACCAUUUGGGUUUUUUUGCUUUCCUAUUUAUAUUAAAAAUCAUUUUUAAAAAUUAAUAUAUAUCCGGGUCUGAGUUUUGGAUGUACGGGUUUACCUAGACCCGAACACACGCGGGUUUUUAAAAUGACAUCCGGAUCCAGAUUUUAUUUAAUCCGGUACGGGUUGAACCCGGACUGGAAAAUCCGGGUUUCAUCUAGGUCCGGGCCAGGUGCGGGUUGAAUUGCCAUCCUUAUUCGUCACUUAGCAGCUACCACAAUAUCGAAAUGGAAAAACUAAAAAAGCACCAUAGGAUACGCAUAUCCACACAUAUAUAAUAAAACUAAAUAUUAUUAAUAAUUUAGUAUCUAUAUAUAUAUAUAAAGCUGGGACUUGAGGAGGUGAUGUGGCAUCACCAUUUCUCAUCUUUGUAUAUUCUCUAUUAUCUAAUAAAUAGAGAAAUUUUCUUUUAGAUUUGGUUUUUCAUCUUCUCAUAAUUAAUUUGAUUGUUUUUACACAAUAACAAUUAUGUAAAGAUUUUAAUGAAGCAUAUUCUUUGUAAUGAACAUCCAAGGGGGAGUGUUAUGAAUUUAUUAAAAUAAAUGUAGAUGUUCAUAACAUAUAUCUCUUAGUCUCCCCACUAUCUCCCAUUAGCAACCUUUAACUUCCUUAUAACUCCCAUUAUCUCACAAGGAAUUAUGAUCCAUAAUUUUUCAUUAAUUUCAUGGAGUGAUUAUGUAACUAUAAAAGGAGAGCUUAUCUUUUUGUUUUGUACACACACAAUUGGAAUAAAUAAAAUCACUCUAUAAUAUAUUCUCUCAUUUUAUUCUUUAUCUUGUGUUGCUUCUUUAUUUGUAUUGUUGGCUAAUAGCUUUUUUUGUUUUUUAUAAGGCUGCCUCAUCUUAAAAAAAAAUUAAUUCAUAUUUUUUAUCAGUUUCAUCAAGUGUAAAGUAAGAAUAAAAAAAAGGCAAACAUGAAAUUAGAAAAGACUAAAGAGCUAUUUAAAAAAAAAAGCCAUUUAAAAAAAGGAAAAUAGCAAGUUAUUUGGCUAGUUAACUGGCGACAGAAGUAAUGGAAAGAAGCAACAACGGCAGCGGCAGGUCGACAGCGAAGAUUCAGCAGCACCGACCACCCACAGACUGGGAUUUGAUUGCAAAGUUGGGACUUAGGAUUUAGGUUUCUGGCUGCUGAAACUGAAAGCGAGAGAGUAGAAAGUAGAGACUGAGAGUGGUGCAAACAUGUGUAAUUGUGUGUGUGUGUCUAUAUAUAUAUAUAUAUAAUGUGAAAUUACAAAAAUGCCAUUAUAUCAGUUCAAUUCGAAUUUUGUAACUUGUGAUCCGAAAACUGAACCAAACCGAACCAUUUGGUUUGGUAUUUAUAUAUUCGGGUUUUUAAUUUAAAAAACUAAAUUGAAACUGAAAAAACUAAACCGAACCGAAUGUUUUUUUUUGUUUCGGUUCAAUUCUGCCCAUCCCUACUUAGUAGGCUGGGCAUCAAUUUCUUUGAAUUGUGCUUUCAUUGCAGUAAUCUCCUUCUUGGUAAUAGGUUUAAUUGCUUGCUGAUGCCUCAUUUCCUCUGGUAAUAACUAGUCUAACAAGCCAUCAUCGUCAAACAUGUACCUAUUAUAAGCAUCAUCCAGAAUUUGCUCUCUUUGCUUUUUGCUUAGUGUCUUCUUUGCACAAGCUAUUAUCUCAGCUUUUGUAUCAAUAUCUUUAUCUUUUGAUUCACUAGAGGAUGAAUCAUCACCGGAAUAGAGUGGUGAAGGCCCCAUAGAUUAGUGUGGUUAAGUUCUAGUGUAGUUUUGGUUUUGAUUUCAGUAUUAGGAAAAUGAAGCGUAUGAAAUUUACUAAGCUAACAUGCUUCACAAAAGUGCUUUAAUACUUGACUAUGAAUACUUGAAGAGGAUAAAUGAGGAUAAAUAAAUUUAAAUAUACAUUAGAUUUUGAGGGUUGGGAUGUCAAAACUUUUGGUGAAAAAGAGUUAGUACAAGCAUUUUAUUGAGAUUGAAAACAUUUCUUAAGAUGAUCAAUGCUAGCUACAAAAUUGGAAUGAAAAAAAAGGCAACAUAGACAAAGGUUUGUUUAUUUGAUUGUAAGAUAGAAAAGACUUGUAUUUAGGUUGUGGAAAGGAUUUGAGCAGCAAUUUAUACAACCUUUUCUCAGCAAAACCUUCAUCUUCAAUGAAUCCUUCACAAAACAAAUAGAUCCAAGAAAUUCGACAAAUAAAUUGUUGUCAACGGUAAGUUUUGAAAUGCUCAAUAGAUUCUUUGUAAUGGAUGGAACAAACAGUACAUCCUUAAGUAAAAUAUGUCUUAUAUUAUCUUUUUUUAAUUCUUUUUAAAAAAAUAAGUGAAUAAUAGUAUGUCAAUCUCAAAUAUCAAUAUGUACAAUUUUUAUUUGUGUAAGAAUUUGCAUCCAAUAAUCAUCAAUACAUAAUUGUCUUUUAAUUGAAUGGUUCUCACCUCCCUUCCAAACUUUGAAAAGGUAAAAUAAGAUCAAUCAUGUCAGUGGCAAUUAAUAUAAAGAUUACUUUUCUUAUUUGUAGUAAUGUCCUCUGAUUAUUUAGCUGAUUUUCAAGCUACACAUUUAUUCCAUUUGAUGUUGAUAUUAGUAAAAUUAAUGUAAUAUUUAAAAAGGAAAAAAAUCCGUUGAGCUAAAAGCCGAGUAUAAAAUUGAACCGGACCCAAACCAGAAACGCACGCCAACAACAUGCUUGCGUCAGUCGGCCCAUGCCCAUAAACCCACCAAGCCCGAUCCAAAUAGAAAAAUGAAUUGGACAUCCGAGAUAGCAGAAACAGAUAAGUAACGCUCGCGCUAUCCCCAAUCUCAUAUCUUUAACGGUAUCCAGCCAACAUCUCAAAGUGUUCAAUUUGUUUUUAAACCAAAAAAAAAAAUUCAAAAUUUUCAAGCGGAAUUUGGGAAGAUGGCGACGAAAAGCAAGAUUCUGGUUAUCGGCGGAACCUGAUACAUCAGUAAAUACUUAAGGUGCGUUUGAAAUUGAGGUUGAACAACUAUAACUUUAAAACUGCAGCACUAAAAUGUUUGGUAAACACUAACUGUUGUAACUUAAAAGCUAUUUAAUAUAAUUUUUCACUUGUAUAAUAAAAAAUUUAUUAUCUUUAAUAUUUUUGUCAAAAUUAUUAUUUAAAAUAUAUACUGUAAGAGAGAUUGUAACAUUUUCAAUCUUUGGUUUGAUAUUCUGGAAGAAAAUGAUUUGCCGUUUAUGGAGAAAAAGGCUAACCGUUUAAUUCCAAAGAGCAUGUUUUCUGUUCUAGAGAAAACGGCUAACCGUUUUGAGAAAAUGGCUAACCGUUUUGAGAAAACGGCUAACCGUUUAAUUCCAGAGAGCAUGUUUUCUGUUCUAGAGAAAACGACUAACCGUUUGGAUAAAACGGCCAACCAUUAAUUACAGAGAGUAACUUAUUUGACAUUCUAGAAUAAAACGGCUCACCGUUAUUGAGAAAACAGCUAACCGUUUAUUUUCAGAGAGCGUGUUUUUGCGUCAAUUGGAAAAACGGUUAGCAAGCUUGGAAAUUUCAAUUGUCAAUCGAUGCAAACUCAAACCAAAAGAGUAUUUUUUUGAAGAAGUACCAUUUUUAAUGGUUGUAUUCUUUCAAAUAAACAUCUUCUUUAUUAAAAAUAGACAAACAAUUAGAUCAUAAUCAGAUUUUGCAGGUUUCAUAUAUGUUAUGGAAAUACAAUCUUAUUUGCUAGAGAUUGUAUUCAGGAUUUGAUAUAUCUUAGGGGUAAUUUGCCAUUAAAACUCUAUAGCAAACCAAGAUUGGUGAGGGCAAAUAAAACCUUAAAGAAAAGUGUGCAAACACGUCUUAAAUCCUAAGAAAUUUUCUUUGUUCUUUGCCUCCAUAUUCUUAAACUUUGAAAAUUCACCCAUCAAUCUUUAAGGUUUUAUUUUGAUGCAAAUGGAGGCUGAGAAGAGUUUGACGUCAUUUCUUAAUCCUAGUGUCCAUCUCGAUCGUUUUGAUGAAACUAAUUUCACUCGUUGGAAGGGAAAAUUAUUCUUUCUUUUUACUGUUCUUAAAGUGGCAUAUGUUCUUGAUCCGAAAUUGAAACCAUUUCCAGAACCAAGAGAAGAUGAUACCGAAGUUGUUAAGGCUGCAAGGAAACGUCGUAAAGAUGAUGAAUUGAUGUGCCGGGGUCACAUACUCAAUACGCUUUCUGACAUGUUAUAUGAUCUCUACAAUUCUAUGACUUCUCCGGUGGAAAUUUGAAAUGCUCUUGAAUACAAAUACAAAACGGAGAAAGAAAGUACUGACAAAUUCCUUGUCUCUAAAUAUUUUGAAUUUAUUAUGGUAGACACACAAUCCAUUCUUGAUCAAAUACAUGAGUUACAAAUUAUUGUUGCUAAGCUUCGAGAGUUAAAAGUUGAAAUUUCUGAAUCAUUUCAAGUUGGGGCUAUUAUUGCUAAAUUGCCUCAAAGUUGGAAUGAUUAUAGAAAGAAACUCCUUCAUAGUAAAGAGAACAUAACUUUAGAAGAAUUGCAAAAACACUUGGUAAUUGAAGAAGAGACUAGGUCUCGCGAAUCCAAGGAUAAGCAUGAUUCUACUAAAGUUAAUGUUGUUGAAGCUAGUAAAUUCUCAAAGAAUUUUAAAGUCAAGAAUGACAAGAAAUUCAAGAAGUCCAGCACAUAAAAGUUUUCUGGAAAUUAUUUCUUUUGUGGUAAGAAAGGCCAUCGCCAAAGUGAUUGCAGAUUCAAGAAGAAAAAGGAAGAAGUGAAUUCCUAUAAAGCUAAUGUUAUUGAAAACAAAUCUGAAGAGAUUUGUGCUAUGGUUUCUGAAAUGCAAAUUGGCAUGAUUACCGAAACCAAUAUGGCUGAAACUAAGUCCUAUGAUUGGUGGCUCGAUUCGGGUACAACAAUUCAUGUUUGUAAUAAUAAGAAAAUUUUCUUAUCAUACAAAGAAGAAACGGAAGGACAAAUGGUUCUCAUGGGGAACAAUAAUGCAGCCAUAAUAGCAGGGAAAAGAGUAGUUGAGAUCAACUUCACUUCUGGAAAUAAAGUCACAUUGUAUAAUGUCUUUUAUGUACCUUCCGUUAGGACUUAUCUUAUUUCUGCUAGUUGUAUAUGUAAGCAUGGGCUUAAGAUUGUGCUUGAGGGUAAUACUUGUAUUCUCUCAAAGGGUAUUCUUGUGAUGGAAUGUACAAACUCAACAUUAAUAAUAAUAAUAUCAAGUUAGCUUAUAUUGUUGAGUCUUGAGAUGUUUGGCUUGCUAAAUUAGCACAUUUGAAUUUUAGAUCUUUGAAAUACAUGUCUGAGCAUGGUUUGAUUAAUUGCAAUGAUGUUAAAGGUCAUAAGUGUGAAAUUUGCAUCCAAGCUAAAUUAACUAAGAAACAUUUUCUUAAAGCCGAACGAAAUACUCAAAUAUUGAAUUUAAUACAUAUCGAUAUUUGUGAGUAUAAUGGCGUUUUAACAAGAGGAGGUAAAAAGUACUUUUAUCACUUUUAUUGAUGAUUGUUCUAGAUACACUUAUGUGUAUUUACUUAGAACAAAAAAUGAAGCUUUUGAUAAAUUUAAAAUUUUCAAAGCUGAAGUUGAGAACCAAAAAGAUAAGAAAAUCAAAGUGGUUCGUAGUGAUAAAGGUGGUGAAUAUUUCUCAAUUGAAUUUAAUAAUUAUUGUGAAGAAUUUGGAAUUAUUCACCAAAGAUCAGCUCCAUUUACUCCUCAACAAAAUAGUUUGGCUGAAAGAAAGAAUAAGAUCUUCACGGAUAUGAUAAAUUCCAUGAUCCUUAAUGCAAAACUACCAAAUAAUUUGUGGGGGGAAGCAUUACUCACUGCAUGUCAUAUUCAUAACAGAAUUACAUCUUUGAAAACACAUGUAUCUCCUUAUGAAAUUUGGAAAGGAAGAAAACCAAACUUGAUGUAUUUAAGGGUUUGGGGUUGUUUAGCUUUUUAUAAAAUACAUGAUCCUAAAUCAUCAAAGUUAAGUGCUAGAUGUAUAAAGAGUGUUUUCGUAGGAUAUGCUGAAAAUUCCAAGGCUUAUAGGUUGUUAGAUUUAGAUUCUAAUGUGAUUGUGAAAUCUAGAGAUGUUGAAUUUAUUGAGAAUAAAUUUCAACAUGAUUCUAAUAUUGAAUUAGAAUCAAUUAUUGAUCAACCAUAUGUUAAUACUCCUAUUACCUCCACUAACAAUAAUAAAAGGAAAGACUCUAUGACAUCUUUCGAACCAAUGAGGAGUCAACGUGAAAAAAAAGAAAAGAGUUUAGCUCCGGAUUUUAUUUCAUCACAAGCACUACUCUUCUUGGUUGAAGGGGAUAGAAAGAAUGUACUUAACAAAGUACCAUUGUUGUUAAAUAUUGAAAAAGAUCCAAAGACAUUUAGCGAGGCUAUGUCUUCUAGAGAUGCUUCUUUUUGGAGAGAGGCGGUAAAUGAUGAAAUGGAUUCGAUUAUUUCGAAUCAAACAUGGGUCUUGGUUGAUCUUCCUCCAGGAUCUAAACCAAUUAGCAGCAAAUGGGUAUUUAGCAGAAAGUACAAUAGUGAUGGUUUUUUGCAAACUUUUAAGGCUAGAUUAGUAGCCAAAGGGUUUAAGCAAAGAAAUGGUAUUGAUUAUUUCGAUACAUAUGCUUCGGUAGCAAGGUUAACUUCUAUAAGAGUGCUAUUUGCAAUUGCUUCAUUGAACAAUUUGUAUGUGCAUCAAAUGGAUGUUAAAACCGCUUUUUUUAAUGGUGAUCUUGAUGAAGAAAUCUAUAUGGAACAACAUGAGGGAUUUGUUUUGCCAGGAAAUGAGAAAAAGGUAUGUAAGUUAGUCAAAUCACUUUAUGGUUUAAAGCAAGCACCAAAACAAUGGCAUGAGAAGUUUGAUUCGGUAAUUUUAUCUCAUAGUUUUAAGCAUAAUAAUGCUGAUAAAUGUAUAUAGUUUAAAUUUACGAAUGAUUUUGGUGUGAUUAUAUGCUUGUAUGUUGAUGACUUGCUUAUCUUUGGAACAAAUAUGCAAGGAGUAGAUGAUACAAAGAAGUAUUUAACUUCACAAUUUAAGAUGAAAGAUCUUGGUGAAGUAGAUAUUAUCUUAGGUGUCAAAGUGAAGAAAUAUAGUAGGGGUUACUCGUUGUGUCAAUCUCAUUAUAUAGAGAAAGUGCUUCUUAAAUUCAAUUAUUUGAAAUUUAAAGAAGCUAAUACCCCAUAUGAUUCUAGUAUUAAAUUAUUAGAGAAUUCAGGCCGAGUAGUAGCACAACUAGAAUAUGCUAGUGCUAUUGGUAGCUUGAUGUAUGCUAUACAUUGUACGAGGCCUGAUAUAGCAUUUACAGUUUGCAAAAUGUCAAGAUUCACGAGUAACCCUAGUGUUGAACACUGGAAAGCAAUUGGUAGAAUACUUGAUUAUCUUAAAAGGACCAUUAAUUUGGGUUUGUUUUAUAGUGAUUAUCCUGAAGUACUGGAAUGAUAUUCAGAUGCUAGUUGGGUAACCAAUACAAGAGAUAAUAAAUCCACUUCUGGUUGGAUUUUUACAAUUGCUGGAGGAGCGGUUUCUUGGGCUUCAAAGAAACAAACGUGCAUAACUCAUUCAAAAAUGGAAAGUGAGUUUAUAGCACUUGCAGUUGCAGGCAAGGAAGCAGAAUGACUAAGAAAUUUGUUGUUUGAUAUAAUGUUGUGGCCACAACCGAUGCCAUCUAUUUCUUUGUACUGCGAUAGUGAAGCUACAUUGUCUAGAGCUUAUAAUAAAGUGUAUAAUGGAAAGUCUAGACAUAUUAGCUUGAGACAUGAAUAUGUGAAACAAUUAAUAGCAGAUGGUGUUAUUACUAUUGUUUAUGUUAGGACUAAUAAGAACCUAGUGGAUCCUUUAACAAAAGGUCUUACAAGAGACUUAGUUAAGGAUACAUCUUUUGGAAUGGGAUUGAAACCUUUAAAUAAUAAAGUCACCAACGACGGUAACCCAACUAUGUAGUAGUUGUACCGCUACUCCAUAGUUAAAUGGGUAAUAACAAGUUGUUGUUAUGUGACUAGUUUGGCACCAAGUAAUAAAUAAUCACAUUCGAGAUAUUCGGUGCAAAUAACUACGAGGUUGAGGUUGAGUAUUUACUUUUAAUGAAGUUCAAGUCUUAUAGUAGCUAAAGACAUGAUUUGAAACUUCACUUAAGUGAACAUAAGAAAUGGUGCCGUUUCUAACAAGAUCAUGGUUUAAUCUAGUAAAUGUUCAUGAAUCCAAGAUAGAGCACAAGGCCGAAAUAGUGCUAAAUAUUGGAACACAACUUUGAAAAUCUGGGAUAGCUUGUGAUGUAUCUCCGGUAUUUACUUAAGAGACAAAGUUUAAUGCUUAGCACACUAUUGUCUUGUAAAUGCUUUGAAAUACACUCACUAAUUAAAGGUUAAAAUCGAAAGAUAUCUUUUUGUAUGUAUAAGUUUAUCAUUAAUAAAUCUGAAAAAUAUUACAAUCUAGUGGGGGAUUGUAAGAGAGAUUGUAACAUUUUCAAUCUUUGGUUUGAUAUUCUGAAAGAAAACGGUUUGUCGUUUAUGGAGAAAAUGGCUAACCGUUUAAUUCCAGAGAGCAUGUUUUCUGUUCUAGAGAAAACGGCUAACCGUUUGGAGAAAAUGGCUAACUGUUUAAUUCCAGAGAGCAUGUUUUUUGUUCUAGAGAAAACGACUAACCGUUUAGAUAAAACGGCCAACCGUUAAUUACAGAGAGCAACUUAUUUGACAUUCUGGAAUAAAAAGGCUCACCGUUAUUGAGAAAACGGCUAACCGUUUAUUUCCAGAGAGCGUGUUUUUUGCGUCAACUGGAAAAACGGUUAGCAAGCUUGGAAAUUUCAAUUGUCAAUCGAUGCAAACUCAAAACAAAAGAGUGUUUUUUUGAAGAAGUACAAUUUCUAAUGGUUGUAUUCUUUCAAAUAAACAUCUUCUUUAUUAAAGAUAGACAAACAAUUAGAUCAUAAUCAGAUUUUGCAGGUUUCAUAUAUGUUAUGGAAAUACAAUCUUAUUUGCUAGAGAUUGUAUUCAGGAUUUGAUAUAUCUUGGGGGUAAUUUGCCAUUAAAACUCUAUAGCAAACCAAGAUUGGUGAGGGCAAAUAAAAUUUUAAAGGAAAGUGUGCAAACACGUCUCAAAUCCUAAUAAAUUUUUUUUGUUCUUUGCCUCCAUAUUCUUAAAAUUCGAAAAUUCACCCAUCAUAUACAUACUACAUAUUAUUAAUUUUUGUUUUAUAACUAUAGUUUUUUUUUUACCGCAGCUGUAGUUUAAAAACUACAGCACCUCAAUCCCAAAAAAGACCUUAGUGGAAUCGAGCGCAAAAGCCGAUCACCCAACAUUCGCGCUUGUGAGAGACUCCACUCUCUCCACUCCUUCCAAAUCCAAAAUCCUCGACCGUUUCAAAAAUCUCGGCGUCAAUUUAGUUCCUGUGCGCCACUCUUUUAGCUUUCCAAUUUUCCCGCCAAUUUGCUUUUAUUGUGAUUAAUUAAUUAAUUAAAGUAAAGAUUUUAUAUUAUAAUUUUGUUUGCAGGGAGAUCUAUACAGCCAUGAGAGCUUGGUGAGUGCAAUAAAGCAAGUGGAUGUGGUGAUAUCAGCGAUAGGUCGCACUCAAUUAGUUGAUCAACUCAACAUUAUCGCAGCAAAUUGCGAUAACUAAUUACUUGGGAUUUUAAAGAAGCUGGAAAUGUUAAGGUACUGAUUAACCUAAGUAAAUGCGUUAACUAAUUACUUGGGAUUUCAAAUUCAAAUGCGUGAAUUGUUCUCAAAAUUGAUAUAUGUUUAUUAGUCAGAGAUUCUUUCCUUCAGAAUUUGGAAAUGAUGUUGAUCGCGUGCAUGCCGUUGAGCUAGCAAGAACAUCAUUUGCCACCAAGGCUAAAAUCCGCCGAGCUGUUGAGGCUGAAAGAAUUCCAUACACCUACGUAGCUUCCAAUUUCUUCGCUGGUUUGUAUCUUUCCAGUUUCUCACAGCCUGAAGCCACAGCUCCUCCAAGGGAUAAAGUGGUCAUCGUAGGUGAUGGAAAUGCAAAAGGCAAAGCGCUUCUGGAUACAUUUACUCUGUACACGCAAUGUGUGGUUACUGUUUGGAGAUAAAAAAGGAGAUUAAUUAAUAAAGAAAAUGAAAUUAUUGAGGGAUUUGCUGAAGAGUUGCGUGCACUCCUCAUUUUUCUCCACCACUCAUCUUACUUGCAAAAUGCAAUGACCAAACUAUCCUCGCCAAAGCCUAGACAUUUACUUGUGUUCAAAGGCCAUUUAAGGGAGACAAGUACAAAAAAUUAUAAAGGAUAGUGAGCAAAAGAAGAAAAUGGAAGGAGGGGAGAAUAAAAAAGGGGAGUGGGGCGUUAUCUAGGCAGGAUUUUUAUUUUUAUUUUUUUCCUCUCUUCUCCAUGGCAUCUCUUUCUCUCUUUCUCCCACUAAGAAAUUCUUUCUUUUACACUCUAUUUUAUUUUUCUGCAAAUUAUGCAAAAAACUUUUGGUUUUAAGGCAAUAUUUAUUAAGCCACAUGAACUUAAAAAAGCAUGAAUAAGGGGAUGAUUUUAACACAUUAAUUCACCAACAUUAAUUGGAAAAGAUCAGUUGCCACUACGAAUCAGAGUAAUUUCUUCGGCAAUAGCCAAAUAUUGAUAUUUGAUCUUGACACUAGAGUUAAAUGAAUGUAACUGGUUUUGUCAUUUGAUCCCCAGCAUUUUUUAACAAGGAAGAUGAUAUUGGAAUCAAUUCUAUCAAAGCGGUGGAUGAUCCAAGAACACUGAACAAAAUACUUUACAUCAGACCCCGUUGCAGUAUCUACUCAUUCAAUGAUCUUGUGUCUCUGUGGGAGGAAAAGAUUGGCAAAGCCCUUGACAGGGUCUAUGUUACAGAGGAACAACUUCUGAAAAACAUUCAAGGUUAGUUAGAACUAUCACUUUAUCAAGUGGAUAGAUGUAACUGACCGAUAAUGGAAAAUUUUUUCCUUCUCCAAAAUGCGAUAGAAUCUAAUCGGUUUCAACAAUCUCAAGAACAUCUAUUCCUGGUUGUGUUGUUUGAAAUCUGUAUGUAUCAGUUUUCUUUCUAGAUCUCAGAUUGCUCGCAAGGAUGUCAAGUUUUGAUGAUGCUUGCCUCUUUUCCUGUGUUUACAGAAGCUUCAUAUCCACUCAAUAUGCUAUUACCUAUUGGGCACUCUGCCUAUGUCCUGGGAGAUCAGACCAACUUCGAAAUUGAACCUUCAUUUGGAGUAGAGGCAACAGAGCUUUAUCCAGA